rnacentral:rRNA from 1 species
CUGAAACCCUGAACUCUAAGGAUGAGGGAGCACAGUUGUUGUUGGACUGCAUACUGUUUGCAGAAGGGGCCAACGAGUGACUUAAAGGAGCAAGGUUAAGCCCUUAAGGGGCAGAGCCGUAGCGAAAGCGAGUUUUAACUGAGCGUUCAGUGACUGGACGUAGACCCGAAGCCGGGCGACCUACCCAUGAGCAGGAUGAAGCGAAAGUAAAAUUUCGUGGAUGUCCGAACCCACGAGCGUUGAAAAGCUCGGGGAUGACGUGUGGGUAGCGGUGAAAUUCCAAUCGAGCCCGGAGAUAGCUGGUUCUCCCCGAAAGAGCUUUAGGGCUAGCCUCAAGGUGAGAGAUACGGAGGUAGAGCACGGAAGGUCCUAGGGGGUAUUGCACCUACCGAAGACUAUCAAACUUCGAAUGCCUGCAUCUUAUACUUGGGAGUCAGACUGUGGGUGAUAAGAUUCAUAGUCGAAAGGGAAACAGCCCAGAUCGUCAGCUACGG